GCUACUCCUUUUAUUUUGUUUUAAUAAAUGAAUUGAUAGAUAUGUAGGUUGCGACAAUUUUUAUUAAUUUAGCAUACAUAUAUUGUGAUGUUCGAUUUAGAUAAAUAGGUAAAUCAAGUAAUUAAGAUACAUAGUUUAAAGAGUUAAUCAAAAAACUAGGAAUAAAAAAUAGAUUUUCUAGUGUAACAUGUCAAUUUGGUUAAUGAAUAUAGUCGAUGCCCUGCUGUGAUAUCCAUGGUGCUUAAUGCUUGAUUUUAAGUGUUUCAUCCUUUUUAGUGUAGAUUAUCUAAAUUAUACUCGUAUACUCGUGCUCAUACAUGUGCAUCGUGCAUCUCAUGAGGUACGAUAAAUAAUCGCGUGAUGCGGAAAAGAGUCAAGUCAACCCCAAGCGCGUGCUAAUCCGCAAGAUGAUAUUGAUGAAUUAACCUGAAGAUGGAUGGACGAAGCAAGUAUUGGAACAAAGACUGAUCGUCAAGUGAUCGACGUCUAACAAACACUAACCUAGUGUUACCCAGGCAAGCCCCGGUGCAUUUACCCCUUCCUUGUGUUUUUAAAUUAUUUUACACACUUUAAGUCUAGUGAAAUGUGCAUUAGGUUUAUAGGAGUUGCUUGGAACCCUUUGAUGCAUUGCCUUCCUUGAAAUCCAUACCUUUUAUAGAUACUUCUGGUGAAGUAUCAAAAUAUGAUUUACAAAAAAAUGCUUAGCCCUGCUUAUAGGCAGAUAGAGUUUGUCCUUUGCACUUAUGCCUAGCUCAGGUUGAUCCUGAGGAAGGAUGACUUCUACCUGCAAGAAUAUUUUCAUUGUGAGCAUGGUGGGAUCUUACUGCAAAGUUCCCUAUAAUGAUCUUUUCAUCCUAAGGAACACAAACAAUCCUAAGGGUGGAAGUACUUAAAUCGGGACUUGGGCUAGGAACAGGUGAUGUUCCGUCCGGGUCAAUUAAGGAUUGGAUGCGUAUGUAGGCCUGAUAGAUCAAGGACUAUCUUAACUGGCCACAUGCCCUGGAAAUGGGACAGGGUAAGCUUGAACCCGGCUAUUCCAUACGUGAAAAGACAACCGCGCACUGGGCGUGGGAGAUGGUGGGAGUAGCGUGUGCCCUCCUGGCUAGAGGCUGGAUGGAGGAGUACUGUGCUCCCGGGUAGCGCGGACCGGUUCACGUUGUGGAGGAUCUGUGGGAACGGUUGACAUAUGCAAGGGUUAAGUGCUACAUAUGUCGUGUGGUUAGAGAUCCUCAGCUGAGUAAAUCGAUUCGGAUCGCCGUUAUAUCCCCGGAGAGUGGAGACUUGAUCACUGACCUGCAACCUAAGUCAGGAUGUGAACCUCAUGAAUAAAAAUGAUGUUGUAUUGAUGAGAUGGUGAAAUUAGACCAGAUGCAAACAGAGUCUAUUAAUAUUUAAUCUGGCGUUAAAAUAUUGAAAGAAAGGACUCACUUUAGUAAGCUCUUUCUGCAAAAGUAUCUAAGUUGAUUCUUGCUAAAGCCUCUCCUUGAUUCCCAAAUCCAGCAUAUCCUUGAGAGUCUUUUCUUUAGUCGGGUAAGACUUGCUGAGUAAUUCCAUACUCAGGGUUUUAUUCCCUGUUGUUUUUCAGGUUUAGUUUUGUGCUGCUGAUGAUGGUGUUUAAGUGCCGGUGGGCUCGGCCUUCUUAUAAGUCUAAGUACUUCUUCUAUACUUCUUAAUGAGGAUGGUCACUUGAGCUAGCAUACAUUUCAAACUUAUAAUUUUGUAAUCACUCCGAUAAAAUAAUGUAAAAUUUUUGUAACCUGUAAAAUUUGGUAGUAAGAUUUCCGCUGCAACAAUAUUGGUGUGUGUGAUUUGUGUUACUUAAUCCCGCGGUUCUGGUUGAAAGUGGUUUAUCCGAUGUCCUUGGGGCAAUCGGACAGAUCCUGUUGAGUUAUCUGGUGCACAUGCAUGGUCGUUUGAG
rnacentral:lncRNA from 1 species